CCGGCGCACGGGUGAGUAACACGUAUGCAACCUGGCCGCCACAGGGGGAUAACCCGCGGAAACGCGGCCUAAUACCCCGUGACGCCACCGGAGGGCAUCCUCCGGUGGCCAAAGGAGCGAUCCGGUGGCGGAUGGGCAUGCGGCGCAUUAGCUAGACGGCGGGGUGACGGCUCACCGUGGCGACGAUGCGUAGGGGUUCUGAGAGGAAGGCCCCCCACACUGGGACUGAGACACGGCCCAGACUCCUACGGAAGGCAGCAG
rnacentral:rRNA from 1 species